rnacentral:rRNA from 1 species
AUUGAACGCUGGCGGCAGGCCUAACACAUGCAAGUCGAACGAGUGGCGGACGGGUGAGUAAUGUCUGGGAAACUGCCUUAUGGAGGGGGAUAACUACGGGAACCGGUAGCUAAUACCGCAUACCAUCGGAUGUGCCCAAGUGGGAUUAGGUAGUUGGUGGGGUAAAGGCUCACCAAGCCGACGAUCCCUAGCUGGUCUGAGAGGAUGACCAGCCACACUGGGACUGAGACACGGUCCAGACUCCUACGGGAGGCAGCAGUGGGGAAUAUUGCACAAUGGGCGCAAGCCUGAUGCAGCCAUGCCGCGUGUAUGAAGAAGGCCUUCGGGUUGUAAAGUACUUUCAGCGGGGAGGCGUUACCUGCAGAAGAAGCACCGGCUAACUCCGUGCCAGCAGCCGCGGUAAUAC